UACGUAGGGUGCAAGCGUUGUCCGGAAUUAUUGGGCGUAAAGAGCUCGUAGGCGGUCUGUUGCGUCGGCUGUGAAAACCCGGGGCUCAACCCCGGGCCUGCAGCCGAUACGGGCAGACUAGAGUUCGGCAGGGGAGACUGGAAUUCCUGGUGUAGCGGUGAAAUGCGCAGAUAUCAGGAGGGACACCGGUGGCGAAGGCGGGUCUCUGGGCCGAUACUGACGCUGAGGAGCGAAAGCGUGGGGAGCGAACAGG
rnacentral:rRNA from 1 species